GAUCCUCGGCCGGUCAGUCCUGCACGCACUGUUAACUUGCAAUCAUGCCGAUCAACGCGGAGACCGUGAACCUCGCAGCCACGUACAUGAUCCUCGUCAUCUUGCUCUUCUGCCUGUGGCUACUGUAUUCCACCGUCUUCUAAAGUGAAAUGAGAACACUGUAAGUCUUCAAUUUACGACAGUACUGUGUGUUCGUAGUCAGUUUUUGGAAUCCCCGCAGUUAUCAACAGUCGGACGUCGGUAUGUACUUAUGUUCAUAUUUAUAAAUAUGAGAAUAUUCGGCGUGAGAUGGAGGCGUGGCGUCGCGUAGGCGCACAGCCGCUGGACGACAUUCUAGGUGUCCACUCAGUUCCUUGUGACCGCUUGCGAAGUGAAGGCUCCCGCGAACGCCACCAUGCCUAACCACGAGACCACCAACCUCAUCGCCACCUACUGCAUCCUGGUGCUGCUGCUGGCCAGCCUGUGGCUCCUCUACUCGGGGAUGUUCUGAGGUGCUUCUCGUCGACUCAUUCUUCGCCCUACGAUCUAAUGCGAUGCAGACAAGAUAAGCCAACUCGAAGGAGAUCAUACGAGGAUGGCGGAUUAAACGAACCAAAAAAAAAUCAAAAAAAUACAAACAAUAUCUCUAAGAAACCGUAAUAUUAGCACUUAAGUUAUUUAUAAGUUAGUUUUGUACAAUCCCGAGCAUUUAAAUAACUUGAAUGGUUGACAGCAUUGGAUAUUCGUACGCAGACGAUCGGCAAUGAAAAACAAUAAACAGCAAUGUACACAACAUGCAAAUAAAAUGUGACAUAGUUUACGUGCUGGGCAUUCCAAUUGAACUGAAGCAUUAGGAAAUGUGAAAGACAUCUCUGUAAUGUCAUGUUUCAUUAUAAAAUGGACGUUACUUCUCUUGUUGAACAUCUUUGAGAUAAUUUAUUCUUGUUGAAUAACUAAGUUUUGGAAUAAAGUUUUUUUAUUUUA